UGAGUGCACUCGGCCUUUCCACGUACCU
rnacentral:piRNA from 1 species